CCUUGAAAGAGUGCGUAAUAGCUCACUGGUCAAGUGAUUCCGCGCCGACAAUGUAACGGGGCUCAAGCACGCCACCGAAGUUGUGGCAUUGAUAUUUUUGGUAGGCCUUCGUGGUCCAGCCGUAUUGAUGGGUAGGAGAGCGUCGUGUGGCGAGUGAAGCGGCGGUGUAAACCAGCCGUGGACGCUACACGAGUGAGAAUGCAGGCAUGAGUAGCGAAAGACAUGUGAGAAACAUGUCCUCCGAAAGACCAAGGGUUCCAGGGUCAAGCUAAUCUUCCCUGGGUAAGUCGGGACCUAAGGCGAGGCCGACAGGCGUAGUCGAUGGACAACGGGUUGAUAUUCCCGUACCCGCGAAGAACCGCCCAAGACAAUCCAGUGGUGCUAAGAGUCCUAACCCGGACGACUGAUUCCCUUCGGGGAUGAUGGGUCCGGUCUAACGCUCGACCCCAUGCUGGUGCGUUUAGCGUAUUAACAGGUGUGACGCAGGAAGGUAGCCUAUGCCGGGCGAUGGUUGUCCCGGUGUAAGUGCGUAGGCUGAGAGAUAGGCAAAUCCGUCUCUCGUGAAGGCUGAGACACGAUACGGACCCGUAAGGGAUAGUAGGUGAUCCUAUGCUGCCAAGAAAAGCAUCGACGCGAGGUUCUAGUGGCCCGUACCCCAAACCGACUCAGGUGGUCAGGUAGAGAAUACUAAGGAGAUCGAGAGAAUCGUGGUUAAGGAACUCGGCAAAAUGCCCCCGUAACUUCGGGAGAAGGGGGGCCUGAGGCGUAUUAGGACUUGCUCCGAAAGCGUUUGAAGGCCGCAGAGACCAGUGGGAAGCGACUGUUUACUAAAAACACAGGUCCGUGCCAAGUCGCAAGACGAUGUAUACGGACUGACGCCUGCCCGGUGCUGGAAGGUUAAGAGGAACGGUUAGCCGCAAGGCGAAGCUGAGAAUUUAAGCCCCAGUAAACGGCGGUGGUAACUAUAACCAUCCUAAGGUAGCGAAAUUCCUUGUCGGGUAAGUUCCGACCUGCACGAAUGGCGUAACGACUUCCCAGCUGUCUCAACCGCGAACUCGGCGAAAUUGCAUUACGAGUAAAGAUGCUCGUUACGCGCAGCAGGACGGAAAGACCCCGUGACCUUUACUACAGCUUGGUAUUGGUGUUCGGUGUGGCUUGUGUAGGAUAGGUGGGAGACUUUGAAGCUUGGACGCUAGUUCAGGUGGAGUCAUUGUUGAAAUACCACUCUGGUCACUCUGGAUAUCUAACUUCGAACCGUAAUCCGGUUCAGGGACAGUGCCUGGUGGGUAGUUUAACUGGGGCGGUUGCCUCCCAAAAAGUAACGGAGGCGCCCAAAGGUUCCCUCAACCUGGUUGGCAAUCAGGUGUCGAGUGUAAGUGCACAAGGGAGCUUGACUGUGAGACUGACAAGUCGAGCAGGGACGAAAGUCGGGACUAGUGAUCCGGCAGUGGCUUGUGGAAGCGCUGUCGCUCAACGGAUAAAAGGUACCUCGGGGAUAACAGGCUGAUCUUGCCCAAGAGUCCAUAUCGACGGCAUGGUUUGGCACCUCGAUGUCGGCUCGUCGCAUCCUGGGGCUGGAGUAGGUCCCAAGGGUUGGGCUGUUCGCCCAUUAAAGCGGUACGCGAGCUGGGUUUAGAACGUCGUGAGACAGUUCGGUCCCUAUCCGCUGCGCGCGCAGGAAAUUUGAAAGGAUCUGACCCUAGUACGAGAGGACCGGGUUGGACGAACCUCUGGUGUGUCAGUUGUUCCGCCAGGAGCACCGCUGAUUAGCUACGUUCGGGAUGGAUAACCGCUGAAAGCAUCUAAGCGGGAAGCCGGCCUUAAGAUGAGAUUUCCAUGCCUUCGGGCGAGAGGCUCCCAGCCAGACUACUGGGUUGAUAGGCCGGAUGUGGAAGAGAGGACGAAAGACUCUCGGAGCUGACCGGUACUAAUAAGCCGAUAAUUUGAUAAC
rnacentral:rRNA from 1 species